AUGCAAAGCAAUAUAGACUUAAACGUUGCUGGAGGUUUGAUUUACAUCACUGAUGGUAUCUCAAGCUUUUGUUUAUUCUAUGUUCGUCCAAAGCUUUUCUUCACCAGGGACUGCUCGAGCUCGACAAAGCAAAAUUUGUUUCUUCAGAUCAAGAAACAUGUCGGCAUGCAAGGAGAAGGUCUACCCCAAAAGAUAGACAGGGGAAUAAAGAGCUCAAUUGAAAUUCAAAAGUUGAAGAGUGAAAGGACCGAAUGA